rnacentral:rRNA from 1 species
CCUAAUACAUGCAAGUCGAACGCGUCUCCGUUAAUGAUUUUAGGUGCUUGCACUUGAAAGAUUUAACAUUGAGACGAGUGGCGAACUGGUGAGUAACACGUGGGUAACCUGCCCUUGAAGUAGGGGAUAACACUUGGAAACAGGUGCUAAUACCGUAUAACAACCAAAACCACCUGGUUUUGGUUUAAAAGACGGCUUCGGCUGUCACUUUAGGAUGGACCCGCGGCGUAUUAGCUUGUUGGUAAGGUAACGGCCUACCAAGGCGAUGAUACGUAGCCGACCUGAGAGGGUAAUCGGCCACAUUGGGACUGAGACACGGCCCAAACUCCUACGGGAGGCAGCAGUAGGGAAUCUUCCACAAUGGACGAAAGUCUGAUGGAGCAACGCCGCGUGAGUGAUGAAGGGUUUCGGCUCGUAAAACUCUGUUGUUGGAGAAGAACAGGUGUCAGAGUAACUGUUGACAUCUUGACGGUAUCCAACCAGAAAGCCACGGCUAACUACGUGCCAGCAGCCGCGGUAAUACGUAGGUGGCAAGCGUUGUCCGGAUUUAUUGGGCGUAAAGCGAGCGCAGGCGGUUUUUUAGGUCUGAUGUGAAAGCCUUCGGCUUAACCGGAGAAGUGCAUCGGAAACCGGGAGACUUGAGUGCAGAAGAGGACAGUGGAACUCCAUGUGUAGCGGUGAAAUGCGUAGAUAUAUGGAAGAACACCAGUGGCGAAGGCGGCUGUCUGGUCUGUAACUGACGCUGAGGCUCGAAAGCAUGGGUAGCGAACAGGAUUAGAUA